GACGAACGCUGGCGGCGUGGAUUAGGCAUGCAAGUCGAACGGUAGGAUACCUUCGGGUAUCUGAGAGUGGCGAACGGGUGAGUAACACGUAGGUGAUCUACCCUCAAGAUUGGGACAACCCAGGGAAACUUGGGCUAAUACCGGAUGAAAGCAGCAGUGAUGUUGUUUGAAAGGUGGCGUAAGCUGCCGUUUGGGGAUGAGCCUGCGCUCUAUUAGUUAGUUGGCGGGGUAAAGGCCCACCAAGGCGAUGAUAGAUAGGCGGCCUUAACGGGUGGUCGCCCACACUGGGAUUGAGAUACGGCCCAGACUCCUACGGGAGGCAGCAGUCGAGAAUAGUCUACAAUGGCCGAAAGGCUGAUAGUGCGACGCCGCGUGAACGAGAAGCCCUUCGGGUGUAAAGUUCUUUUAUAUGUGAGCAGUGCUUUCUAUGUGAACAGCAUGGGGAGAGAGAUAUUAGCAUAUGAAUAAGCAACGGCUAACUCCGUGCCAGCAC
rnacentral:rRNA from 1 species